GGGUUGUGAGGUUAAGCGACUAAGCGUACACGGUGGAUGCCCUGGCAGUCAGAGGCGAUGAAGGACGUGCUAAUCUGCGAUAAGCGUCGGUAAGGUGAUAUGAACCGUUAUAACCGGCGAUACCCGAAUGGGGAAACCCAGUGUGACUCGUCACACUAUCAUUAACUGAAUCCAUAGGUUAAUGAGGCGAACCGGGGGAACUGAAACAUCUAAGUACCCCGAGGAAAAGAAAUCAACCGAGAUUCCCCCAGUAGCGGCGAGCGAACGGGGAGGAGCCCAGAGCCUGAAUCAGCAUGUGUGUUAGUGGAAGCGUCUGGAAAGGCGCGCGAUACAGGGUGACAGCCCCGUACACAAAAGCGCAUGUGCUGUGAGCUCGAUGAGUAGGGCGGGACACGUGGUAUCCUGUCUGAAUAUGGGGGGACCAUCCUCCAAGGCUAAAUACUCCUGACUGACCGAUAGUGAACCAGUACCGUGAGGGAAAGGCGAAAAGAACCCCGGCGAGGGGAGUGAAAAAGAACCUGAAACCGUGUACGUACAAGCAGUGGGAGCCCCACCACCAAAGCAUUCUCUGGUGUUGAAGGCCCUGCAAAGCAGCAUCGCGGUGGCGGAGCGUCGUUUGCGACGCCCAACACACAAAACAAGCGGUGAGUGCUUUGGGGUGGGGUGACUGCGUACCUUUUGUAUAAUGGGUCAGCGACUUAUAUUCUGUAGCAAGGUUAACCGUAUAGGGGAGCCGAAGGGAAACCGAGUCUUAACUGGGCGUUAAGUUGCAGGGUAUAGACCCGAAACCCGGUGAUCUAGCCAUGGGCAGGUUGAAGGUUGGGUAACACUAACUGGAGGACCGAACCGACUAAUGUUGAAAAAUUAGCGGAUGACCUGUGGCUGGGGGUGAAAGGCCAAUCAAACCGGGAGAUAGCUGGUUCUCCCCGAAAGCUAUUUAGGUAGCGCCUCGUGAACUCAUCUUCGGGGGUAGAGCACUGUUUCGGCUAGGGGGUCAUCCCGACUUACCAACCCGAUGCAAACUGCGAAUACCGAAGAAUGUUAUCACGGGAGACACACGGCGGGUGCUAACGUCCGUCGUGAAGAGGGAAACAACCCAGACCGCCAGCUAAGGUCCCAAAGUCACAGUUAAGUGGGAAACGAUGUGGGAAGGCUCAGACAGCCAGGAUGUUGGCUUAGAAGCAGCCAUCAUUUAAAGAAAGCGUAAUAGCUCACUGGUCGAGUCGGCCUGCGCGGAAGAUGUAACGGGGCUAAACUGUGCACCGAAGCUGCGGCAGCGACGCUUAUGCGUUGUUGGGUAGGGGAGCGUUCUGUAAGCCUGCGAAGGUGUCCUGUGAGGGAUGCUGGAGGUAUCAGAAGUGCGAAUGCUGACAUAAGUAACGAUAAUGCGGGUGAAAAGCCCGCUCGCCGGAAGACCAAGGGUUCCUGUCCAACGUUAAUCGGGGCAGGGUGAGUCGACCCCUAAGGCGAGGCCGAAAGGCGUAGUCGAUGGGAAACGGGUUAAUAUUCCCGUA
rnacentral:rRNA from 1 species